AGCAGUAUGGUGUAUUGUGCACACGGGGCUCUCUUAAUCGGGGGAUUUCAUACACCCCGAGGUCCUCAUUCGAAUCGAGGUGCUGCUC